GGCGGAGUAACAGGAACCACGGAGCAGCACAGAUUUGGCUGAAAAGCCCCGGGUGGGUGCGCAGCACCUGCUGGUUGGGGACUUGUCAGAUGCGAACUGAUAAACACUGAGCGCUCAGCUGCAGAGCAGGCACCUGUGCUGAACGUCAGAGAGCAAAGUUUUCCAACAGUGCACUCCGCAAUGGAGGUCUGCAUUGGCUCUCAGGGAACAGAGCCCGGAGCUGGGGGCCGCGUGACCCGCAAGAGCCACGGGAGGGGCUUGCCAGCUGGGGUCCCGCUCACCUUCAUUGGUGUCGUCCAGUCUUGCCGCCCCGUCCAGGCCAGGGGAGGCUCAGGACCAAUACGUGUGGCCUUGCCAUGCCAGCCUGGCUGCCGAGGGAGCUGUUCUGUGGAGCUGCUUUACUCUGAGCUGUGGUUAUGACAAAACAGGAACAAGAAAGGAACA